rnacentral:tRNA from 5 species
GGGCCGGUAGCUCAGUGGUAGAGCGAAGGAUUGCAAAUCCUUAGGUCUCGUGUUCGAACCACGAUCGGCCCU